rnacentral:rRNA from 1 species
AUUGAACGCUGGCGGAAUGCUUUACACAUGCAAGUCGAGCGGCAGCACGGACUUCGGUCUGGUGGCGAGAGGCGAACGGGUGAGUAAUGUAUCGGAACGUGCCCAGUCGUGGGGGAUAACGUAGUGAAAAUUACGCUAAUACCGCAUACGAACUCUGGAUGAAAUCGGGGGAUCGCAAGACCUCGCGCGAUAGGCGCGGCCGAUAUCAGAUUAGGUAGUUGGUGGGGUAAAGGCCCACCAAGCCAACGAUCUGUAGCUGGUCUGAGAGGACGACCAGCCACACUGGAACUGAGACACGGUCCAGACUCCUACGGGAGGCAGCAGUGGGGAAUUUUGGACAAUGGGCGAAAGCCUGAUCCAGCCAUUCCGCGUGCAGGAUGAAGGCCCUCGGGUUGUAAACUGCUUUUGUACAGAACGAAAAGGUUUCUACUAAUACUAGGAGCUCAUGACGGUACUGUAAGAAUAAGCACCGGCUAACUACGUGCCAGCAGCCGCGGUAA